GAAGUUUGUAAAAAUUUAGCUGCUAACUAAACUUAUAGUGAAUUUAAUCAUUAAUUCUUC
rnacentral:tRNA from 1 species